AUUGAACGCUGGCGGCAGGCUUAACACAUGCAAGUCGAGCGGAGCGAGGGUGCUUGCACCUUAGCUUAGCGGCGGACGGGUGAGUAAUGCUUAGGAAUCUGCCUAUUAGUGGGGGACAACAUUCCGAAAGGAAUGCUAAUACCGCAUACGUCCUACGGCGGAAAGCAGGGGAUCUUCGGACGUUGCCCUAAUAGAUGAGCUUAAGUCGGAUUAGCUAGUUGGUGGGGUAAAGGCCUACCAAGGCGACGAUCUGUAGCGGGUCUGAGAGGAUGAUCCGGCACACUGGGACUGAGACACGGCCCAGACUCCUACGGGAGGCAGCAGUGGGGAAUAUUGGACAAUGGGCGGAAGCCUGAUCCAGCCAUGCCGCGUGUGUGAAGAAGGCCUUUUGGUUGUAAAGCACUUUAAGCGAGGAGGAGGCUACUUAGAUUAAUACUCUGGGAUAGUGGACGUGACUCGCAGAAUAAGCACCGGCUAACUCUGUGCCAGCCGCCGCUGUAACAC
rnacentral:rRNA from 1 species